GCCUGUGUGGCUCAGUCGGUUGAGCAUCUGACUUUGGCUCAGGUCAUGAUUUCACGGUUCGUGGGUUCGAGCCCUGCGUCCGGCU
rnacentral:tRNA from 1 species